rnacentral:snRNA from 1 species
AUGCCUUAAACUAAAGAGUAAGGAAAAUAAUGAUCCGGGCUGAUGCCUAGUUCCUCACUGUAAAUGUGAGAGGAAUUUUUGAAGUACUGAUCAUCCUUACGGCGAUUCUCCUACUUAGUGUAAUGCCUAGGCGUUUUGGUCUGAC